rnacentral:lncRNA from 1 species
CAGUAGCAGGUCGUGCCCAGGUGGCUUAUGGGUCAGCCCUGAAGAAAAAAGAAGGAUGGCCCCCUCCGGGGUGCUGGAUGUCAAGGACCUGGUGCACGAUACAGACAGCCAGGGGACAGCUGCAGAGAUCAUUGCAUCAUUGAGGGCCAUGUCUGCUGUGGAUUUAGCAUAUGAAAUCUUAGGAAGGGAGGAUGCUUGAUUCAAAUUCUCUGCUCAAGCAAGUGACUGUGAGGCAGGCCAAGAAGAAAUAGAGUAAAAAUGCUGUUGAAGACAGACUCCACAAAUUGAAGUAUUUUUCAGCCAUGAACACCAUAUUGGAUUGACAGUUGUAAAGACUUCCUGUGGUUUAAGAAAGGUGAAAAUAAUCCUUCCACGUGGAGAAGACAAGAAACCUCCAGAAACAAGAGAAUCGUCAGUUGUUGCAGCCUCAUCUUGUUCCAUCUUAUUCGACAAGCACAUUUUUCUUCAGUAAACACCCUGAGCGG